rnacentral:lncRNA from 1 species
AUGAUUUUGGUUUCAGUAUUUGGUAACACCGGCCUUUUGGGGCCACACCCUUUGGGAGAAGACACAGGAGCCCUGGGUAGUAGAUGGAAAGGUGGAAGUUUGCUUCUAAGGAAAAAUACUGGAAGGAAUAAAAUGCAGCCAAGAGGGGUCGUCGCUUUAACACACACCUGCUCUUUCCUCCCCAUCAGCAGGUGCCCAACAAGAUUGUUGACGAUGUCUGUGUCUACACCAGCAUGUCUCGAUCACCAGUCCUGGCCAUAG